GAUCUGGCUCAGGAUGAACGCUGGCGGCGUGCCUAACACAUGCAAGUCGAACGAGCGGAGAGGAGCUUGCUCCUCAAAGCUAGUGGCGGACGGGUGAGUAACGCGUGGAUAACCUACCCUGUACAGGGGGAAUAACAGUUAGAAAUGACUGCUAAUGCCGCAUAAGCGCACACUGCCGCAUGGCAGAGUGUGAAAAGCCGAGACGGUACAGGAUGGAUCCGCGUCUGAUUAGCUAGUUGGUGAGGUAACGGCCCACCAAGGCGACGAUCAGUAGCCGACUUGAGAGAGUGACCGGCCACAUUGGGACUGAGACACGGCCCAAACUCCUACGGGAGGCAGCAGUGGGGAAUAUUGCACAAUGGGGGAAACCCUGAUGCAGCCAACGCCGCGUGAGUGAAGAAGUAUUUCGGUAUGUAAAGCUCUAUCAGCAGGGAAGAUAAUGACGGUACCUGACUAAGAAGCCCCGGCUAACUACGUGCCAGCAGCAGC
rnacentral:rRNA from 1 species